rnacentral:rRNA from 1 species
UGCAGUCGAGCGGAACACAAGGGAGCUUGCUCCUGAGGUGUCGAGCGGCGGACGGGUGAGUAAUGCCUAGGUAUCUGCCCAGUCGAGGGGGAUAACAGUUGGAAACGACUGCUAAUACCGCAUACGCCCUACGGGGGAAAGGAGGGGACCUUCGGGCCUUUCGCGAUUGGAUGAACCUAGGUGGGAUUAGCUAGUAGGUGGGGUAAUGGCUCACCUAGGCAACGAUCCCUAGCUGGUCUGAGAGGAUGAUCAGCCACACUGGAACUGAGACACGGUCCAGACUCCUACGGGAGGCAGCAGUGGGGAAUAUUGCACAAUGGGCGAAAGCCUGAUGCAGCCAUGCCGCGUGUAUGAAGAAGGCCUUCGGGUUGUAAAGUACUUUCAGCGAGGAGGAAAGGUAGGUAGUUAAUAACUGCUUACUGUGACGUUACUCGCAGAAGAAGCACCGGCUAACUUCGUGCCAGCAGCCGCGGUAAUACGAGGGGUGCAAGCGUUAAUCGGAAUUACUGGGCGUAAAGCGUACGCAGGCGGUUUGUUAAGCAAGAUGUGAAAGCCCCGGGCUCAACCUGGGAACUGCAUUUUGAACUGGCAAACUAGAGUCUUGUAGAGGGGGGUAGAAUUUCAGGUGUAGCGGUGAAAUGCGUAGAGAUCUGAAGGAAUACCGGUGGCGAAGGCGGCCCCCUGGACAAAGACUGACGCUC